rnacentral:rRNA from 1 species
CCUACGGGAGGCUGCAGUCGAGAAUCUUCGGCAAUGGGCGAAAGCCUGACCGAGCGACGCCGCGUGCGGGAUGAAGGCCUUCGGGUUGUAAACCGCUGUCAGAGGGGCUGAAAGCCAGGGGGGUUCUCCCUCCUGGUUGACAUAGCCUCAGAGGAAGCACGGGCUAAGUUCGUGCCAGCAGCCGCGGUAAGACGAACCGUGCGAACGUUGUUCGGAAUCACUGGGCUUAAAGGGUGCGUAGGCGGCCUAGCAAGUCGGGUGUGAAAGCCCUCGGCUCAACCGAGGAAUUGCGUCCGAAACUGCUGGGCUCGAGGGAGAUAGGGGCGCGUGGAACUUCGGGUGGAGCGGUGAAAUGCGUUGAGAUCCGAAGGAACACCGGUGGCGAAAGCGACGCGCUGGGUCUCUUCUGACGCUGAGGCACGAAAGCUAGGGUAGCGAAC